rnacentral:rRNA from 1 species
AACGAACGCUGGCGGCAUGCCUAACACAUGCAAGUCGAACGAGCCCUUCGGGUCUAGUGGCGCACGGGUGCGUAACGCGUGGGAACCUGCCCUUAGGUUCGGAAUAACUCCCCGAAAGGGGUGCUAAUACCGGAUAAUGUCUUCGGACCAAAGAUUUAUCCCCUUUGGAUGGGCCCGCGUUGGAUUAGCUGUUUGGUAGGGUAAACGCCUACCAAGGCGACGAUCCAUAGCUGGUCUGAGAGGAUGAUCAGCCGCACUGGGACUGAGACACGGCCCAGACUCCUACGGGAGGCAGCAGUGGGGAAUAUUGGACAAUGGGCGAAAGCCUGAUCCAGCAAUGCCGCGUGAGUGAUGAAGGCCUUAGGGUUGUAAAGCUCUUUUACCCGGGAUGAUAAUGACAGUACCGGGAGAAUAAGCUCCGGCUAACUCCGUG